CCUGAACUCCAGGCUAAUGGAACUGCAUUGACACUGGCAUAUGAAGGUUAUCCUAGCAGCCAAGUGAAUCUGGAGCACAAACGAAUUAAGGGAGAAUUAAGGAGCCUGUGCAAAGUGAAGCCUUUCCAAAUCUCAGCUCAGACAAAAGGUCUGGAAAAGCUGUUGCAUCGAUUGAUGAGGAAUGCAGAUUGAUCCAGCUCAAUCUGCAUGGGAAUCCAUUCCAUGCGAGCUGAGAGAUUGUAAUUGAUCAGACAGGAUAAAGCCUGUAUCUGGCCUGC